GUCUUUUUGAUUAUAAUUUAAAGUCUGACCUGCCCAAUGAGUAUUUAAAUGGCCGCGGUAAUUUGACCGUGCAAAGGUAGCAUAAUCAUUAGUUUUUUAAUUGAAAGCUGGAAUGAAUGGUUGGACGAGAAAAUAACUGUCUCAAUUUAAUUGUAAAUAGAAUUUUAUUUAUAAGUAAAAAAGCUUAUAUAUAUUUAAAAGACGAGAAGACCCUAUAGAAUUUUAUAUUUAUUUAUUUAUUUAAUUUUUAGGAUUAAUAUGUUUAUAUAUAAAUAAAUAUUUUGUUGGGGUGAUGGAAAAAUUAAAUAAACUUUUUUUGUAUUAAAUCAUAAAUGAAUGAUUAUAUGAUCCGUUUUUAACGAUUAUAAGAUUAAAUUACCUUAGGGAUAACAGCGUAAUUUUUUUUUAGAGUUCUUAUCGAAAAAAGAGUUUGCGACCUCGAUGUUGGAUUAAAAUUAACUUUUGGCGUAGGGGCUAAAAUGUUAGGUCUGUUCGACCUUUAAAAUUUUACAUGAUCUGAGU
rnacentral:rRNA from 1 species